rnacentral:miRNA from 1 species
UCUGCCAGACUACAAACCACACA